CGUACACUCCUACGGGAGGCAGCAGUGGGGAAUAUUGGACAAUGGGCGCAAGCCUGAUCCAGCCAUGCCGCGUGAGUGAUGAAGGCCCUAGGGUUGUAAAGCUCUUUCACCGGUGAAGAUAAUGACGGUAACCGGAGAAGAAGCCCCGGCUAACUUCGUGCCAGCAGCCGCGGUAAUACGAAGGGGGCUAGCGUUGUUCGGAUUUACUGGGCGUAAAGCGCACGUAGGCGGACUAUUAAGUCAGGGGUGAAAUCCCGGGGCUCAACCCCGGAACUGCCUUUGAUACUGGUAGUCUUGAGUUCGAGAGAGGUGAGUGGAAUUCCGAGUGUAGAGGUGAAAUUCGUAGAUAUUCGGAGGAACACCAGUGGCGAAGGCGGCUCACUGGCUCGAUACUGACGCUGAGGUGCGAAAGCGUGGGGAGCAAACAGGAUUAGAAACCCGUGUAGUCCCAUG
rnacentral:rRNA from 1 species